rnacentral:lncRNA from 1 species
AUGUUUUCUGAAUUUCUUGUGUUGCUUCAAAAGGAGAAUACAAUAUAUUUUCUUACAGGAGGAGGCAUUAACUUUCGUGAGAGAUCACAAUUGUUACCACAUCAUCUUGAUUAUAAAGAUGAAGAAAUUGAGCUGGAUUUACUUCAAUUCUGCCAUUUUAUGCAUGCCGGGAGAAAGAUGAAAUAUACUGGGCUUGAACGCCUCCAUCAUUUCCCCCAAGACCUGGACACUCAUUCCCAAGCAGUGGAUCAAAUAACCACAAUGUUUGCUAUGAUUCAGCUAUUUCCUCUGAUUUUUGCAGAAGAAGGAAAGCUUUGAAUAUUUCAACCAAAUGUAAUACAAACUUAUGAUGACUUUCUGAUGAAGUUAUUUUAACGGAACAUUUUUAUGCGCAGAGAUAUUUGGAAGCUGAUAGAAUAGACCCCCAGGAAACAUAGACAUGGGCAACAUUAUAAUUUCUAGAAUGUAUUAAGAAAUGGGAUGUUUAUGAAUCACUGAAAAUUUUAUCCUUAUGUUUAAAAAUUUCCUAUUUGUAUAUCUGUUGCUUCAGGUGAAAAAAAAAACCUUUAAAUUUAAAACUAAUGGAAAUAGUCUACCUACUAUGAGCAAAGAUUAACAAAGCUAUACUUUGAUUAUACCAAGAUUGAUUUUUCCAAAGUUUAACAAAUUUCUAGAAGUGAAGGCUGGAAAAUAGACAUUGUAACAUUAUUAAUUAUUGAAACAGACUAUAUAUAGAUAGAUAUAAAUUCCCCUCUUUUGGAAAAAUACAUAAAGGUAAUUGAAAAGUAUUAACUCAUAUCUUUUUUCCUUUUAAGUAUUGUAAAACUUGUAUUAUCUUUAAUGUUAAUUCUAACUGACAUGGAUAUAAAUAUAAAAUUCAAUUAAGAAAAUUCUAGUCUGUCUGCAUUUCUUUUCUGGGCAUUAUUAUUAUUUGUUUCCUUUCAUGAUUAUUACUGAAAAUAAUUUUGUCACAGAGAGGACGAAGUGCUAAAAAAUGAUCUACUCUAGAUGUCAAAUACAUGAGGUAUGCUGCUGUGUCUACCUAGAAAAUAUAAGACUGUCGACAGAAAGAUCUCUUAGAAAUUAUGAGAUAGCUUGAUUAUGUGGGACAGUAAUAGCUUUUCCAUCCUAGCAACAACAAAAUUCUAAAAUACCAAAUAAAAAAUUAAUAUUAAAUAAGCA